ensembl:lncRNA
CCUGACUGUAAACCCCCAACCCCGCACCGUUGGUACGACUCUUUAAAAACAGAUUAUUAUGAAGAUGGGAUAAUCUACGCGUGAAAGGAGACUAACUGGCAAAGUAAACAAAUAAAUAAAAAGUAACUCUGAGUGACAGGUCGUUGAGCCGGAGUUAUUGAUAGAUUCCACAAAGCGAUACCGUUGGAUCGAUGUCUCCCCGCCGAGGGGUCCGCAGCCCCCCACCAGCUAAAGGUCAGACGCACUCUCUGCCUCUCCCUUCCCUCCUCCCCUCAUCUUUAUCUGGCACGUCGUACAUCCAAGUACUCUUUGGGGCACCGCAGCUUUUCUGAACACCGUGCCGGGAGACGGAGUUCUCCAAUCAAAUGUCAAUGCUUCCUGAAGCUCUUCCCUCACCGGGCAAUUUCCCGGCGCCCCGCUAUGUGUAAUGUCUUGGCAUUUACCAGAAGCCAGCCGCUUGUUCAAAGUUAUCCCUCCCCCUGGGGUCCCUGCCGUCCGAUUGGCCUCCGUGGUGCUGCUUUUCGAAGAGGGAGACCAGCAGGCUCUUAGCGACACGACAAACUAAGAACAAAGAACUACGUCCGACUGAACGUGUGGCGAUAAGU